rnacentral:rRNA from 1 species
UACGUAGGGCGCAAGCGUUGUCCGGAAUUAUUGGGCGUAAAGAGCUCGUAGGCGGCUUGUCACGUCGGGUGUGAAAGCCCGGGGCUUAACCCCGGGUCUGCAUUCGAUACGGGCUAGCUAGAGUGUGGUAGGGGAGAUCGGAAUUCCUGGUGUAGCGGUGAAAUGCGUAGAGAUCGGGAGGAACACCCGCGGCGAAGGCGGCCACCUGGACCAGACCUGACGCUGAGGCGCGAAGGCCGGGGGAGCGAACGGG